rnacentral:misc_RNA from 1 species
ACUUAGCUUCGCACUCCAUCAGCUGGUUGCCAACAGUCUAAGCCGUCAGUAUGGAAACUAAGAUCAUCUGCUUGGCCCUAGCCUUUCUGCUAGUCGCUAUGGAAAUAAAUGCAGUACCUAUGCGGCGAAGUCUUUCAUCGGAAGAGGUUUUGAUACGAUCGCCCAGGGAUCUCUCCCAGAAUUAUGAACUGGCUUUGAUAAGAGCUUGUAUAAAGGAAAAGCUUCAGGUCAGGGACAUAAACCUACUGUCGCCUCGCUGUCAACAAUUCUUUCAUAGAGCCCAAAAUUUCGUUAACUCGGGCUAGUGGUCUAAAGUAUACAAGCUUCGUGUGUACCCACAGAAAUUGUGUACUACAGUCAGUGAACGAUGAACAGAAACCAAAAAAUCUAUGUACAAAUAAUAGCCAAUGGAGUUUCUAAGUAUUGUUUUCUUGUGGGGAAAAAUUGCCAGAGAACCUUUCGUUCAAGAUUUAUAUCCGAACAGCAAAGAUUUUUCCCUCGGCUGCAUAAGAGCUAAAUAUUGUCUCUUCCGUUUGUCUGCCCACGGAAGAAAUACCUGUAUAUUAAGAUAAUAUUUCUCAUGUCAAAAUAUGGCUUAUGACAUAACAGUGCCAAUAACUGAAAUCGAUUUGUUUAGGCCAACAUACAGUAGCCACACACUGUACGAGUAAUGAUGAAUCUAAUAGGAUCAUUCUAGGUGUUAUUAUUAACUGAACAAUUUUGGAUUUUGACUUCAGUUGAGUCAACAAGUGACAAGUGUUAUUUUUGCUUUCUAGCAUUAUUAGGCUUACCACGUAGACUUACACCAAAUUGGUGUCAGUUUCUACAAUAUAGAUGUGUUAUUUUUUUCUGUUAUAUGCAAAUAUAUUAUCUACCAAAGUUUUACCUGUUGUCAUUAUAUUGCAAUUUUCUUUGUUUGAUGUUAUUUAUACAUUUUUGUGAUUUUUAUCCCAGUAGAAACUUGUUCAAAAGUUGUUUUUUUUUUGUCUUUAACUGUUUGCUGUCAUGCAAUCUUUGAUUGCAUUAUUAGUAUAACCAGGUUUUAUGAUAAUUAAAGAGGUAAACUCUUUG